ACGACCUCUCGCCCCCUCCUCAUCCUACCAUCCGACGCCACAGCAUGGCGGGGGUGCCCCUCACCAAUCCUCCGCGCCCGAGCCGUCUCACCGGAACCGCCAAGCCUGCCCACCCGGGGAUCACCACCGCACACACCCCCUCACCUCGAAGGGACCCUACCUGUCCGGCUCGAGUUCCUUGCAUCGCCACUGACCGCUCCGCCAUCUGCCCGACUGUAGGUUAGGGCCCUCUUCGUCGGUGAGAGGCGCACGGGAGCUGUUGCUGCCGCCGGGGACUUGGACACACGCGGGGCCAGCCGCGGCCGAACGAAGCCGCAAGUGAGACAUCGACGGGCGGCGCCGAACACUGGUCUCAUCCCUGCUGCGCAUCGUAGACCUCACUACUGCAAGCUUCGCCUUCCUCUGGCGCUAUUUCCUCCACAACAUGCCGCUCCAUCCAUCGGUACCCUACAGAGUACGUAGCCACCAUGACAUAUCUCUCCCUCUAAAUCCCUUCUUUGUGUUGUUUGUUUUUCAGAAAGAUUAUGGAUUAUUGUGGUUAACCCAAUAUAACUUUUGAGGUGAACAGAAAAACUAUGUUUCACCUUGUAGUGAUUUAUGAAUGGCAUACGCACGCCGGAUACCAACUCUGGCAUAAUGAGCUUAAGGACAUAAUGAAAGAUUAGUAUGCAAGUUUGUUAUCAGUUUGAUGAUACACGGCCAGUAAUACUUGUUUCUUUUGCCUGAAAUAAGGGCUGUAGUGAGUUGUGACUUACAGAAAAAGAUUCCAUCUUCCCUAUAUUUCUACACUAGCUACUUGUAUAUUGUGCAGCACUUCACUCGAGUUUAGCUCCUUAUAUAUUCAGUUCACCCCCCUAUAUUUAUCAUGUUAGGAAUCUGUCUUGUUGUAUGAAAAGAGGGUAGCUUAUUACUGCCAUAGCUAGGGUGUGAAUUUGUUCUACCAUGUGUUUUGUUAUCCAUGCAGGUCCCCGAUGAUUUCUUUUAGCAUGUACUAUAAAAUUAAUCUAUUGUUUGGUGUAACCAUGUUGAAGAUUUACCGUUUGUGCAUGCAUGCUGUUGACUUUAAGUUAGAAGGUGCUUUGCUGUUUCUGCUGAGUUUUUUUGUAGGUCCUAUUCAUUUUAGCACUCAGAUUUACCUGCAUAUGUGUCUACGUACUGAAGAAAGAUGCACCCGAGGAAGUUGUAAAGAUGGUGUCUAGAGAUAGCUUGCUGGCCCUAAUGGCUGAACCCCAUGAACAAUUUCAGCCGACAUGCACAUCACCACAAGUCCAUAUCUUAAUUGAGUUCCUACACCAGCUGUUACUGGAUAAAUUGUGUACGACGCCAUGCUUGCACCCUUGUUCCAAGAGUAUUUGCAGUUCUAUUCUUGGUUGUUCUUUGCACAAGAAGCUACCCUCGAAGCUGCUCUGUGUGUGAAGGAAGCUCAGAAACAGUGUUUUCUUGAGGAAACAGAGCAUGAUUGUGGAUCUUUUCAAAAUGGUCUGGAUGAGAGUGAUUGGCUUGCUGAAUUGACUAAGAUUGGAAUGCUUGACGUAUUCGAAGAUGUUGGCCUCUCUACUGUUCAAACAACUUGUUCAUCUCAAGGCAACAACGCAACUGACUUGGAACAACGUUGACCCUUUACCGCCACCAUAUACCAUAGCCUGCACUGAAGGGCCUUCCUAUGCCAUGGAUAAGCCGCGCCAGCUGCUUUACAGAGGCAACACUCAAUCGAGUUGGGUCGCCAUUCGGCUGUCUAGAGCGGGAACGGCAAUGAUGAAGGCAAGUAUGUUGUUGUCCCCUUCUGAAGUUCAGUUAUGUCAGGCAGGGAGUCAAUCACUGCAUUAUCUGUGGUAUUGAAUUUUUUGAUUUUGUGUUGACCAAUAAGUGAGCACAAUUGUCGGAAUGAAGAGAAGAAUUAAAUGAUUUUAUUUGAA